rnacentral:rRNA from 1 species
GACGAACGCGGGCGGCGGGCCUAAUACGUGCAAGUAGAACGCAGUGGGGACGGGUGAGUAACACGUGGGUAACCUCCCCAUCAGAGGGGAGAACACUUGGAAACAGGUGCUAAACCGAUACUGAUGGAUGGACCCGCGGUUCAUUAGCUAGUUGGUGCGGUAACGGCUCACCAAGGCCACGAUGCCUAGCCUGCCGGAGAGGGUGUGCGGCCAGACUGGGACUGAGACGAGGCACAGAAUGCGACGGGAGGCAGCCGUAGGGAAUGUUCGGGAGGCGACGAAAGUCUGCCCGAGCAACGCCGAGUGAGUGAAGAGGGUUUGCGGAUCGUAAAACUCUGUUGUUAGAGAAGCGGUAUCUAACAAGAAAGCCACGGAUACCUACGUGUCAGCAGCCGCGGUAAUAC